CCUACGGGUGGCAGCAGUGGGGAAUCUUGCGCAAUGGGCGGAAGCCUGACGCAGCGACGCCGCGUGCGGGACGAAGGCCUUCGGGUCGUAAACCGCUUUCAGCAGGGACGAGGCCCUCACGGUUACGGUACCUGCAGAAGAAGCCCCGGCUAACUCCGUGCCAGCAGCCGCGGUAUUACGGGGGGGGCGAGCGUUAUCCGGAUUCAUGGGGCGUAAGGCGCGCGUAGGCGGCCUGUAAGGUCGGGGGGCAAACACCGGGGCUCAACCCCGGUCCGCACGCGAUACCGGCAGGCUUGAGUCUGGUAGGGGAAGGCGGAAUUCCCAGUGUAGCGGUGGAAUGCGCAGAUAUUGGGAGGAACACCGGCGGCGAAGGCGGCCUUCUGGGCAACGACUGACGCUGAGGCGCGAAAGCUAGGGGAGCGAACAGGAUUAGAUACCCUUGUAGUC
rnacentral:rRNA from 1 species